CACUGCGCGUUGGGCGGACGCGGUCCUGGCUCUUGCCUCCGCACUGCGGAACGCGACGGAACACGCCGUGACGCUAACGCCGACACCGCUGGACUGCGCCUGCGCGGGAGGGACGGCACAACCGUGGUCAGACGGGCCGACCAUGCUGCAGUUCCUCAAACAGGUUGACACCGGCGGAGUGACGGGUCCGAUCCGCUUCACGUCGAGCGGGGCCCGGGCGGACACCGAGUACGAAAUCGUCAACCUCAGAGAGGACGGAUGGCUAACGGUUGGUUCGUGGGACGAGCCGGGGGGCCUGACCUUCCUCCCGGGGACGGAGGUCCGGUUGGCCGGCGGAGAGACCGAGGUGGC